UACGUAGGGCGCAAGCGUUGUCCGGAAUUAUUGGGCGUAAAGAGCUCGUAGGCGGCUUGUCACGUCGGGUGUGAAAGCCCGGGGCUUAACCCCGGGUCUGCAUUCGAUACGGGCUAGGCUAGAGUGUGGUAGGGGAGAUCGGAAUUCCUGGUGUAGCGGUGAAAUGCGCAGAUAUCAGGAGGAACACCGGUGGCGAAGGCGGAUCUCUGGGCCAUUACUGACGCUGAGGAGCGAAAGCGUGGGGAGCGAACAGG
rnacentral:rRNA from 1 species